UACACAGGAGGGAAUUGUGGACCAGGCCCUAUCUGGAAUGGCGCCUGGGAGUUUCCACGGUGACAGUAAACAAGCCUCAGCCUCCUCAGCUACAACUGCGGAGUUCCUCCUCUAGGUGCUCUGAGAGCUGGCGAGGUUCCGGGUGUGACUAGGAGCACAGAGACAAAGAGCCCGAGGUGAGGGCCGCUAACCCGGUGGGCUGAGGACUGUGCCCAUGGGAUGCUGAACCGCAGGCAUGGGAUUUGUAGCCCCGCUGAGUCCUGAGAGAGGGAGAAGUAAUUGGCCCCAGCGAGACAACAGUGUGUUUGCCCUGGAGAAAGGAGAGGAGGAACACUAGGAGAAACCUAUCCUGAGGAGGUCUAGCAGACACACUAUGCCCAGAGACCUAUGGCUGUGCUCUCAAGUAGCCCAGCUUGUCACCAGUGCCAAGUUUCCAAGCUCAGAGAGAGAUGGCAACUGCUGUUUAACUGUUGAAGAAAUUUCGGGGGUCUGGGAGCCUCUCAUAGCGAUGUCCCUGAUGGCGUUUCUGGAAUCGGACUCAGGGUCUUGCACAUUCUUUGCAAGCACUCCCCCCACUGAGCUCUGAGCUCUGUUCCAAGCCCAGGACAAGAUAUGUUAGUACUGUUUUCUGAAAACAGUCAUACCUUUCUUGUUUCUUUGCGUUCUGAACUUUAUUUGUUUUUGUACAAAGGCCUAGCACGCGCCCAUCUAUAGGAACAGAAACUGCGUACUAGGUUCGUCCUCCAUUUCCGGAUCUGAUCUGGGACGGAUAUGACCCUCGCGGCUUGAGCCGACGCAGAAAGAGCGACAACCCAGGCGGAUUACUCAUCCUGCUUUCCCGCGUCCAACCAGGGAGAAGGAGCGGGAUCGGACGCGCAUGCGCUUUCCUAAGUUUGUGUAGUUCCGUUCCUCUGGUUUUUGUAAAAGUCACCUAGGGAGAAGAGGCUGAGUCACUUCCUCCAUUCUUUUACCUUGAGGCGCUGGGAAGGGAACCUCAGGGCCUCGCGAGCACUCCAGCCACUUUCUCGUUUCUGUUGCACCGUUCUGCUAGGCCAGCAUGUCGUAGCAUGUUAUUGUCAUCACUACUUCCGCCGCGAUCGCCAGCGCCACGUGGCUCCACUCCUAGGAGAACACGGCUGUCAAUCUGAUUUUCGUCCCCGGGGCCGCACGCGUCCCUUAGAACCUGGGCGCGGCUGUUUCUGCGCACGCGCAGCGAUGCUAACACCAUUGGCGGGAGGGUACAGCUCGCCCCCUGGCGAGCAGCGCCGGGAACACAAACGACACUCAAUGAUACUCUUGCGCACGCGCAGUGCAAACUCGGCCCCAGCGCGGGAUCGCAGUUUGGCCCCUAGGAGAGGGCGCGCUGCGCAAUCAGCAGCCAAGGGUUUGUGCGCAAGGCACACGCGCCUCCCCAUGAAGGAAAGCUGCGCGUGGGUCGAACGGUGCGCAUCAUGCCACUCGCCUCCGCUGCGGGGUCUCCUCUACCUUGAGGUUUUUGGGUUUGUGGUGUCUCUGGGCUUUUGCGUCAUACUCCGUAAUGGAGGGCGCCAGACCUAGUGCGAGCUACUAAACUUAGGGGAUAGAACCGGAUAGCGGAAGUUCCUAGAGCAGGCUCCCGGAAGUGAUCCAGCAAGUUCCUAGUCCGGUAAACUUUAACUCUAGUUCCCCGGACCGCGAGAAGAGGUGUACGGGUGUGGAAAUGUGAGACCACAAGGGUUUCGUGGAGAACGCGCCCCUUCACAUUUUGCCCCUAUUCCUCUCUUAAGGUGUUGAUGUAGAAAGGGAGUUUACUCUGGAGCUACAUAUAAGUGACUGGCCCAGGAUGACAGAUUCGGGUCAUUUCAAAUUCCAUUUUUAAUGUAGUAAUGUUUUGAUCGAGUGAUUUAUAUAACGGAACCAAGUUAUAAAACAAGAAAGACACGUUUCAAAUCCUGUGUUCCUCACAUUCAAUGCUGACCCCCGAACCCUACCUUAGGGAGAGG
ensembl:lncRNA